rnacentral:rRNA from 1 species
GACGAACGCUGGCGGCGUGCCUAAUACAUGCAAGUCGAACGCACUCUCGUUUAGAUUGAAGGAGCUUGCUCCUGAUUGAUAAACAUUUGAGUGAGUGGCGGACGGGUGAGUAACACGUGGGUAACCUGCCCUAAAGUGGGGGAUAACAUUUGGAAACAGAUGCUAAUACCGCAUAAAACCUAAACACCGCAUGGUGUAGGGUUGAAAGAUGGUUUCGGCUAUCACUUUAGGAUGGACCCGCGGUGCAUUAGUUAGUGGUGAGGUAAAGGCUCACCAAGACCGUGAUGCAUAGCCGACCUGAGAGGGUAAUCGGCCACACUGGGACUGAGACACGGCCCAGACUCCUACGGGAGGCAGCAGUAGGGAAUCUUCCACAAUGGACGAAAGUCUGAUGGAGCAACGCCGCGUGAGUGAAGAAGGUUUUCGGAUCGUAAAACUCUGUUGUUGGAGAAGAAUGUAUCUGAUAGUAACUGAUCAGGUAGUGACGGUAUCC